AACAAAAUACAUCUCUUAGGACACUUAUUUAGGGACAUUAUUUAAUAAAUGUCGCAAUUACCAUAUAUUAGGAUACUUCUUAAUUUGCGUCCCUAUUAUUAAGGUUGUUGGGACACUUGUACCUCAAAUUAAUUAGCGGAACAAUUUUAUAGAUUUGGCGGUCCUCUUUUUAUUUUCAACAUAACCCAUAUUAAUAUAUUACUUUAUUUUUUAUUUUCUAUAGAAAUAAUAAUAUAUCACUUUAUUCUCUUAUUACUUGGUAUUGUCGAAUAUCAAAACAAUAUUCUAGGUUUUCAAUGUUCAAAGGCUAAUCUACACCGAAAGGAUAUCGGCGACUUCACUCCUCCGUCCAUGGCGUCACCAAAUUCUUCAAUUUGGUCGUCGACGAGUUUAGAAGAGCAAUUUGGGGAUCGAUUCACAAGGGUUGACUGAAGCUUCGAUGGAUGCGCACAAGACGUGCUCUGCCGAUUAACAAUCAUAGCACGAACUUUGGUUUGUGAGGUUACGGUUUUCCUUUGAGUUUUUCUCUUUCUGUUAAUGAAAUUUGAUUAGUAUUUGUACCAAAAACCUAAGAAAUAGAGUAGCACCUUUCAAUGGUCCAUGGAGGUUUAUGACUGCUUCUAAAUAGAGAAUGUUUUCGUUAUAAGAAUCAGAUUUAAUUCCUAAAUGUGUGACUUUUUUUUUUAUUCAAUUACUUAUUUAUUAACCGAUUUUAUAUAAGAAAUUGUUUAAAUUGUAAUCUAAAUAGCAUCACCAUGGCAAUUUAUCAUCCUAAUGAAGAAACCUUAGCCCUAAACCCCUGAUUUUGUAUUCUGAAAAUCAAUUUAUAAAAGUAUACCUCAUAUCCUAUAUUACUGCUUUGUGCCGUGGAUAGAUGAAUUGUGGGAGAAAAACAGGUGGUUGAUGAUUAGGUUCAUUGUCUAGGCAUUACAAUUGGUUAUUCAAUAUGAUUGUUCUUUAUGUUCUGCUUACUUCAGCUUUAAUUCGUAAAAAGUGCGCACUCUUAGUUGAAAGAUUCACAAUAUGGGUUAUCAACCAUGGUGAUUCGCUGCAGAUUUGCAGGCAAUCCUAACAAACAGGGACAAACACUAAGACAUGAUUGAUUUCCCAAAUGGCAGAGUCCCCUAUGUUCUGUUACAUCUGAUCAAGUUUGCUCUGAAUGGUAGAGAGUUUCGUUGAUUAAUGUGUCUAACUUUCACCUGAUUGUAAAAAAACUAGAGUUUUUUAAACUUUCUACUGUCCAUCAUAACUUCUUGAGUUUAACAUCCUCGACCAUAACUAGUCUAUUUGUUGCUUCUAUCUGCAUAGGCAUGCCACUAUUGGUGGCAUUAAUGUAUAAGAUUGAGGGGCAACCAGAGCCUUGUAUAUUUAUUUUUAUGUCUCGUAUCAUCUUACUUAAAUUACCUAUAUUAUGAGUUGUAAUGAGUUCAUUAGUUUGAAAAUUUUAGAAUAAAUUAUAUUAAAUAUCGUAAUAUGUUUUUUUGUUGAUUUUGUUCGCAAAGAUGAGUCUAACUUUUUUCUAUAUUUACCUUUUUCUGCAGGUCACAAUGUGAGAACACAAAAUUGAACAAUAGGUAAAGUCGUGAAAGUGCAACUAGGAGGUAUACUUUUACAAAUUUUAUAUGAUUCUUAAACUUCUUAACUUGUGUUUUUUUUGUGUACCGUUAUAAUAUAACUAUUACGCUAGAAUGCAAUCUCUAUGCGCAUAAAUUUAUUUAUUGUAGAAUUUUCUUAAAGAUCAAUCGACAUUUACAUGUCGCCAUUGAGUGUUAACUUUUAUCUCAAUAUUUGAGUGUGGUAUGCUCCCUUUCACGAUCAUUCUUUAUUUAUUAUCGUCCGAUGACUACAGAUAGUUUAUGUGAAGGAUGUAACUAAUCUAUUAGUUUCAUUGUCAACAUAUGUAUGUUAGCAACGUAUGGCACCAAACUCUGCAUGUUUACAAGAAUACUUCCGGACCUGAACGUGUAGAAAAAGAAGUCACACUUGGGAAAGAGCAAAGUCUUGAAAAGAAGGGAACAACUUUGAAGUACGAGAGUUACUUAUAGACUCAUGUAUAUGCUAUAGUAUUUCCAGUGAACAUUAGUUAGUAUAAUGUUAGCAUCUCAUAAGAACACAUUGAAAGAACAGUGUAUUUUUAAUGAAUGAAUUGCAUUUGACUACAA